ensembl:lncRNA
CAGAAAGGGGGAUACCUAGUCAGUUGUACAACAGAAAGGGGGAUACCUAGUCAGUUGUACAACAGAAAGGUGGAUACCUAGUCAGUUGUACAACAGAAAGGGAAAGGGGGGUACCUAGUCAGUUGUACAACAGAAAGGGCGAUACCUAGUCAGUUAUACAACUGAAUGCAUUCAACUGAAAUGUGUCUUCCACAUUUAACCCCUCUGAAUCAGAGAGGUGCAGGGGGCUGACAUAAUUAACGACAGAUUUUUUUUUUUUACCAUUCGGUUACUGGCCCAACCCUCCUACCCGCCAGUGCUUGGUUUGUAAUGAAUAUUAUUAAUCACUUUGAUAAGGUCUGUUGAUUAUAAAAAUGUUUUUGGGGUAACAUAUACUGUUCUCAGAGAGAUUCAACUGCUCAUCUAUACCCAGAGAAUCAGAGUGAUGUCGUUAGGCUGUGAUUUAUCUAUACCCAGAGAAUCAGAGUGAUGUCGUUAGUUUAUGACUCAUCUAUACCCAGAGAUUCAGAGUGAUGUCAUUAGGUUAUGACUCAUCUAUACCCAGAGAAUCAGAGUGAUGUCAUUAGGUUAUGACUCAUCUAUACCCAGAGAAUCAGAGUGAUGUCGUUAGGUUGUGACUCAUCUAUACCCAGAGAUUCAGAGUGAUGUUGUUAGGUUAUGACUCAUCUUUACCGUUAAUCAGAGUGAUGUCAUUAGGUUGACUCAUCUAUACCCAGAGAAUCAGAGUGAUGUCAUUAGGUUGUGACUCAUCUAUACCCAGAGAAUCAGAGUGAUGUCGUUAGGUUCUGACUCAUCUAUACCCAGAGAAUCAGAGUGAUGUCGUUAGGUUCUGACUCAUCUAUACCCAGAGAAUCAGAGUGAUGUCGUUAGGUUCUGACUCAUCUAUACCCAGAGAAUCAGAGUGAUGUCGUUAGGUUGUGACUCAUCUAUACCCAGAGAAUCAGAGUGAUGUCGUUAGGUUGUGACUCAGCUGUCAUGCUAUGUUUAUUGUACUGCUGGGCUUCUGUCAUCUGACUGUUUUCUAUGGGGAUUAAGGUCUGUUUAAUAAGUAUACUGAAUUAUGACUUAAGAGGUCAAAAGUC